UUUCGUUUUCUUCCUCAAAUCAAUUUUUCCCUUUAAUAUUCAUCUUCUCAACUUCUUCCCUGUAAAUCCUCCGUAGCUGUUUCUCCCACAUUUACUUCCAUUAGUUAAUUUACCAAGCGUUAUGACACUUUUAGCUUUUCCGAUUUAUUAAUGAUUGAUUUAUAUAUAAAAUUGAACAAUGGCCAAAUUAGAUUCUCACUUUCUCUCACUAUUAGAUUUCUGGAUUAUGAUCUUAUUGGUUUCAAACCCCAAAAUCAAUGCGUGGAGGGAUUCAGAUUUGAUAUCCUCAUGUAAUUUUAAAUUGUGGAUCACUGGAUCAACAUGGGUUUGCAAGGGAAAAAAUCUGGGUAAUCGAUGACAAUCUACCUCCAUGAGUUCAUAAAAUCAUCAUUAGUUGAUCUUCAUCUCAAACCAUCAGAAGAGGACUUAAAGCAAUGGUUUGACAGGUAAAAGUAAAACCAUCAUCAUCCUUUUAUGUUCUUUAUCUUUAUAGAUUCUGAAUUUUAUGUGUGUGUUUCUUUUUUGAGUUCUGGGUUUCACUUGCUAUAGAUGGCCACUCAACAUUGAUUUCUUUAGAAACAUCAAUGGCAAACCCUUCAGAUUCUUAUUUGCAUAUCAUACUUACCUCGCUGUCUCAGAUAUAAGGGUUAGAAACAUUUGU